GAUGAACGCUAGCUACAGGCUUAACACAUGCAAGUCGAGGGGCAGCAUGAACUUAGCUUGCUAAGUUUGAUGGCGACCGGCGCACGGGUGAGUAACACGUAUCCAACCUGCCGAUGACUCGGGGAUAGCCUUUCGAAAGAAAGAUUAAUACCCGAUGGCAUAGUUCUUCCGCAUGGUAGAACUAUUAAAGAAUUUCGGUCAUCGAUGGGGAUGCGUUCCAUUAGGUUGUUGGCGGGGUAACGGCCCACCAAGCCUUCGAUGGAUAGGGGUUCUGAGAGGAAGGUCCCCCACAUUGGAGCUGAGACACGGUCCAAACUCCUACGGGAGGCAGCAGUGAGGAAUAUUGGUCAAUGGACGAGAGUCUGAACCAGCCAAGUAGCGUGAAGGAUGACUGCCCUAUGGGUUGUAAACUUCUUUUAUACGGGAAUAAAGUGAGGCACGUGUGCCUUUUUGUAUGUACCGUAUGAAUAAGGAUCGGCUAACUCCGUG
rnacentral:rRNA from 1 species